UCUAAGUUCAAAGCGGUUGGAGGAUGUGAAACGAAGCUUCAAUUGUUUCAUUAAAAAGAAUGACAAUGUAUUUGACACCUAUGUGUUGUAAAUAGUUAUAAUUGUUCUAUUAUAAAACACACGACACUAGCAGUUUAAAAAAAUUACAAUUCCAGAAAGUGUGCUUUCAUCCACAAUUGUUAUUUCAUUUUACAAUCAUUAAACAAGACUAUUGUACACUUUUCUACACCUGCGUAUCGUUUCCCAAAAGCUUGUAAAAAGCAGAUAAAACAUCCAACGUUAUUCAUACGUUUUUUGGGGGUUGUUUUUUUAAACAAUGUAUUUUUUUUGUGUCAUUUACAUUUUUCACAGAGCAACUCAGCAAACAGGAAGAAAACACAGUGGGACCAAAGCAUUGAUAGUGACGGGUCAGUGCAAAACACCUGCAUUUUAAAUCAGAGAGAAAGACCAAGAGAGAGGAGGGGAAGAGAGAACUGCCAUGUUGUUGUUGAAAAAGCACAAUGCCUGUAUUCAUAAAGGGUCUCAGAGCAGAAAUACUGAUCUAGGAUCAGUUUAGACUUUUAGAACUUAAAUCAACAAGGUUACAGAGACGAGUGGGACUCCUACCGAGAAGCUUCAUGACCACAGGUGGGACUCCUACCGAGAAGCUUUAUGAACACAGGUGGGACUCCUACCGAGAAGCUUAAAGAACACAGGUGGGACUCCUACCGAGAAGCUUCAUGAACACAGGUGGGACUCCUACCGAGAAGCUUCAAGAACACAGGUGGGACUCCUACCGAGAAGCUUCAUGACCACAGGUGGGACUCCUACCGAGAAGCUUAAAGAACACAGGUGGGACUCCUACCGAGAAGCUUUAUGAACACAGGUGGGACUCCUACCGAGAAGCUUAAAGAACACAGGUGGGACUCCUACCGAGAAGCUUUAUGAACACAGGUGGGACUCCUACCGAGAAGCUUUAUGAACACAGGUGGGACUCCUACCGAGAAGCUUUAUGAACACAGGUGGGACUCCUACCGAGAAGCUUUAUGAACACAGGUGGGACUCCUACCGAGAAGCUUAAAGAACACAGGUGGGACUCCUACCGAGAAGCUUCAUGACCACAGGUGGGACUCCUACCGAGAAGCUUAAAGAACACAGGUGGGACUCCUACCGAGAAGCUUAAAGAACACAGGUGGGACUCCUACCGAGAAGCUUAAAGAACACAGGUGGGACUCCUACCGAGAAGCUUAAAGAACAUGACCACAGGUGGGACUCCUACCGAGAAGCUUUAUGAACACAGGU